rnacentral:rRNA from 14 species
ACACAUGCAAGUCGAACGAUGAAACUCUAGCUUGCUAGAGAUGAUUAGUGGCGGACGGGUGAGUAACAUUUAGGAAUCUGCCUAGUAGUGGGGGAUAGCUCGGGGAAACUCGAAUUAAUACCGCAUACGACCUACGGGUGAAAGGGGGCGCAAGCUCUUGCUAUUAGAUGAGCCUAAAUCAGAUUAGCUAGUUGGUGGGGUAAAGGCCUACCAAGGCGACGAUCUGUAGCGGGUCUGAGAGGAUGAUCCGCCACACUGGGACUGAGACACGG